AGUGAACGCUGGCGGUAGGCCUAACACAUGCAAGUCGAACGGCAGCACAGUAAGAUCUUGCUCUUACGGGUGGCGAGUGGCGGACGGGUGAGGAAUACAUCGGAAUCUACUUUUUCGUGGGGGAUAACGUAGGGAAACUUACGCUAAUACCGCAUACGACCUACGGGUGAAAGCAGGGGAUCUUCGGACCUUGCGCGAUUGAAUGAGCCGAUGUCGGAUUAGCUAGUUGGCGGGGUAGAGGCCCACCAAGGCGACGAUCCGUAGCUGGUCUGAGAGGAUGAUCAGCCACACUGGAACUGAGACACGGUCCAGACUCCUACGGGAGGCAGCAGUGGGGAAUAUUGGACAAUGGGCGCAAGCCUGAUCCAGCCAUACCGCGUGGGUGAAGAAGGCCUUCGGGUUGUAAAGCCCUUUUGUUGGGAAAGAAAAGCAGCAGGUUAAUACCCCGCUGUUCUGACGGUACCCAAAGAAUAAGCACCGGCUAACUUCGUG
rnacentral:rRNA from 1 species